rnacentral:tRNA from 1 species
UAGUCUAGCGGUUAGGAUUCCUGGCUCUCACCCAGGCGGCCCGGGUUCGACUCCCGG